rnacentral:rRNA from 1 species
GACGAACGCUGGCGGCGUGCUUAACACAUGCAAGUCGAACGGAAAGGCCCUGCUUUUGUGGGGUGCUCGAGUGGCGAACGGGUGAGUAACACGUGAGUAACCUGCCCUUGACUUUGGGAUAACUUCAGGAAACUGGGGCUAAUACCGGAUAGGAGCUCCUGCUGCAUGGUGGGGGUUGGAAAGUUUCGGCGGUUGGGGAUGGACUCGCGGCUUAUCAGCUUGUUGGUGGGGUAGUGGCUUACCAAGGCUUUGACGGGUAGCCGGCCUGAGAGGGUGACCGGCAACAUUGGGAAUGAGAUACGGCCCAGACUCCUACGGGAGGAAGCAGUGGGGAAUCUUGCACAAUGGGCGGAAGCAUGAUGCAGCAACGCCGCGUGCGGGAUGACGGCCUUCGGGGUGUAAACCGCUUUCGCCUGUGACGAAGCGUGAGUGACGGUAAUUGGUAAAGAAGCACCGGCUAACUACGUG